GUACCAACUGGAUGAGCAGCGAACGGGUGAGUAACGCGUGGGGAAUCUGCCUUUGAGCGGGGGACAACAUUUGGAAACGAAUGCUAAUACCGCAUAAAAACUUUAAACACAAGUUUUAAGUUUGAAAGAUGCAAUUGCAUCACUCAAAGAUGAUCCCGCGUUGUAUUAGCUAGUUGGUGAGGUAAAGGCUCACCAAGGCGAUGAUACAUAGCCGACCUGAGAGGGUGAUCGGCCACAUUGGGACUGAGACACGGCCCAAACUCCUACGGGAGGCAGCAGUAGGGAAUCUUCGGCAAUGGACGAAAGUCUGACCGAGCAACGCCGCGUGAGUGAAGAAGGUUUUCGGAUCGUAAAACUCUGUUGGUAGAGAAGAACGUUGGUGAGAGUGGAAAGCUCAUCAAGUGACGGUAACUACCCAGAAAGGGACGGCUAACUACGUGCCAGCAGCCGCGGUAAUACGUAGGUCCCGAGCGUUGUCCGGAUUUAUUGGGCGUAAAGCGAGCGCAGGUGGUUUAUUAAGUCUGGUGUAAAAGGCAGUGGCUCAACCAUUGUAUGCAUUGGAAACUGGUAGACUUGAGUGCAGGAGAGGAGAGUGGAAUUCCAUGUGUAGCGGUGAAAUGCGUAGAUAUAUGGAGGAACACCGGUGGCGAAAGCGGCUCUCUGGCCUGUAACUGACACUGAGGCUCGAAAGCGUGGGGAGCAAACAGGAUUAGAUACCCUGGUAGUCCACGCCGUAAACGAUGAGUGCUAGAUGUAGGGAGCUAUAAGUUCUCUGUAUCGCAGCU
rnacentral:rRNA from 1 species